rfam:Streptomyces roseus strain ATCC 31245 contig_178, whole genome shotgun sequence.
CUUGAUGGAGCCCAGCCACAGCGGCUUGUCGGCGGGGCGGCCCUUGCCGUACGUGGCGAGCAGCGCCUGCGCCUC